ensembl:miRNA mir-353 miscRNA
UGUUGAAGUAUUGCAAAAGCAAAGGACGGGCACAAUUGCCAUGUGUUGGUAUUAUUGCUUCAAGUUAUUUGAAGCUGUAAUAUCAAUAAGCAUGUCUCGUGUGAAGUCCG